CCCCGUUCCCAAACGUCGACGGUCUGGAUCAUUACGCUGUUGAUGGACGGUCUUCAAAAAAUUGCUUUAACGACGCCUGCAACCAUUCAGGUGAAUUCAAAAAAAUUAAUUUUUUAAUGUAUACUCUGACGCACCUGACGCGUCGCAAGUGCUGACUAAAACACUUUUAACUCUCUCUCUCUUCUCAACGUCCUCUUUCUCUUCCUCUUCACUCUCUCUCCAUAGGUUUACACAAAAAACAGCUUCCUCUCUUCCAACGGAGAAGAAGCUUACACAAAAAAGGCCCUUUUCUCUCUCUCUUCCAACAUAAAAAAAGCUCUGUUCCUACGCCAUUUCCAACAAAGAAGAAGCUCUCCUCCCUGGUUUUCUUCUCUUCCUCUUCCCUGUGCCAAGGCUCUCCUCCCUGGAGGAGGGAUGGCGGUUAUUGCAACUUGGCUGAGGCCUCUGGUUUGAUUUUUGAAAGGUAUUUUAACCUCGAUUACCUCCUAGGGAGAGAAAACUCAGGUUCUGCAACGUUCCAAAUCCAUAGGGUGUUGGUCCUGUUAAUCUAUUAUAUGUCAAAGUAAGUACAGUGAGAGAGGUGUAGUUCGAAAUGCUUUCAGGUAUCGUGCCUUCAAGCUGGUUAUUUGAUAGUAUCAGACCCUUCAAAUUAUACAAGGGCCCAAUGCUCGAUGGAAUCGGGCCUCUCAGAUAAUUGAAGCUUAGAGGGAGGUUUUUCAGAUUUGAGAGCUCGAAGAGAGAGAAAGGUAUCCUCCCUGUUAGGUUAUUCUCGUGUAGGAUUAGGAGCUCCAAUACCCUAUGAGCUCCCCAAGUUGAGGAGGUAUACUGCCACUAAGCUCAUUCCUAGAAAGCUCCAAAUGAGUGAGGGAUUUGCAGAGAGAGACUCAAUUGGAAUAGGACCCGAGAGCUUGUUAUCAUAAUCGAGCCAAUUGCCCGAUUCAUGGUUUAUGAAACUUUUGAUUUCUAUGUUUGCUGUGGCUUCAGGGAUAGAGUUUCAGAAAGCUAACAGAUCUCCAACCUUUUUUUACUUCAUCAAUUUAUUGCUUUAAAAGGAGUGCAUUCAAAUGCUAUGUUUUAUAAUGUCCAAAUUUACAUGUAAAUAGUAAUAUUUAUAUGCACAGUGAUCCUUGUAUUUCAAUUUAUUUAGUCAUUCAAAUGUGACGCAUGGAUUUCAGGUUUAAUUGUUAUUUGUUUUUAUCUUUUGGCUGUUAAUUUAGUGGUGGAGAAGUCCUAGGGACUUGUACUUUUGCACCAUUUUGUCUGAUUUUCAAGCAGAAUGUAGUAGUUUGAAGGUAAACCAGUAUAAAUGUUUAUGCCAUGAAUUAUAUUGCGUGGAACAUAAUAUGCUAAAUGAUUUGCUUCAUAGAAAAUACGUUCCCGACGUUCGUUUUCCUUUGUCGAUGCUGGUCCAUUGUAAGAAGGGAAAGUCCGUUAUUUUAACUAAUGCGUGUUGUUGGAUUCAAUAGGAAUUAGAAUCAGCUUUUCUUUUGACGUGGAAUUCCAGAAGAUGUUCAUUUUUUAGGUUUUGUGCGUGCGUAAUGAUAUGGAAUGCUAUGGACUUUGAGGUGAAUGUCAAUUGUGAAUUUUGAAGGACCAAUUGCGUGCAUAUCAUUUAUUUUUAGUGAACUAUAUGGAUAUCACUUUGUUAGCAAGGUUAGAGUAUGCGGAGAGGCUUAUGUGGCCACUGUACAGUGGAUAUGCUUCUCAUGGAUGUUAUAUUUUUGAAUACUUAGAUAUAACAGUUGGCACAAGCUUCAAGUUUAGAUUUCAAUCCCAUGUUAGGAAAGAUGAUCGUCUCUCUUUGUGUAUAUCAAUCUGCCUAAAGUAGUCUUAUACAUCAAGUGACAAUUUUUUGGAGUAGUUUCAUUAUAUCUAUUAGGUUCGUUACCCAUUGUUAACCAUCUUAGAUAAUUCGAUUAAUAAUGUUUGUGACGAUUUUUUUAAUAUAUUCGUUAUGACUUAUUUAUAUAAUGGAUCUCAACAACCAAUUCCCUCUAAGGAUUUGUAAACACAAACCAGGAUGUCGUCAGAUGCGUGUGUUUAUAGCAAAGACACAUGAUAACUACAACACGCAUUUCUAUAAAUGCUCUAAUUGGAAGAAUGAGACUGGAUGAGGCUAUCAAGAGUGGUGUGAUGAAAUUCUAGGUGAAGAUAGAAAACCUUUGGUUAAAAGGUUCGUGUCUCACAGUUCAGAUGCUUGUGUUGCUGAUGGAGUAGAUGCAUCUUCAUCUGAAAAAGCGAAGUGUAAAUCUGUUGCUAUGGUCCAUGAUAAAGCAGACCUUUAAAGAAUUAUUUUGUGUAAUUUUAUUUAUGACAUUGAUGUUUGCUCUAGUAUUUUUUGUAAAAAGAAUGGAUAUAUGUUUUAUGGUAUCCAUACAUUUAUAAUUGUAUACACUUAUUGUUCUCUAUCUUCUAUGGAAGAACAAUGUUUAAUUUA